AGCCGGGUCCUGCGCAACGAAAUGUUACUAACCCCGUCAGGUCCGGAAGGAAGCAGCGGUCGUAACUUCUUUCGUGUGCCGCAGGGGAGCCUGGCUAUC
rfam:Deltaproteobacteria bacterium SM23_61 WORSMTZ_34623, whole genome shotgun sequence.